UACGUAGGGGGCAAGCGUUAUCCGGAAUUACUGGGCGUAAAGAGUGCGUAGGUGGUCUUACAAGCCUCGGGUGAAAGGCUAUGGCUCAACCAUAGUAAGCCUUGGGAACUGUAAGACUUGAGUGCAGGAGAGGAGAGCGGAAUUCCUAGUGUAGCGGUGAAAUGCGUAGAUAUUAGGAGGAACACCAGUGGCGAAGGCGGCUCUCUGGACUGUAACUGACGCUGAGGCACGAAAGCGUGGGGAGC
rnacentral:rRNA from 1 species